rnacentral:rRNA from 1 species
GAGGGGGUGCAAACGUUAUUCGGAUUUACUGGGCGUAAAGGGUGUGUAGACGGAGCAUUAAGUUUGUUGUUAAAUCUUUCGGGCUUAACCGAGAGCUUACGAUGAAAACUAGUGUUCUAGAGGGUGAAAGAGAGAAGUGGAAUUCUCGGAGUAGCGGUAAAAUGCGUAGAUCUCGAGAGGAACACCGAUGGCGAAGGCAGCUUCUUGGUUCACUCCUGACGUUGAGACACGAAAGCGUGGGUAGCAAACAGGAUUAGAUACCCUGGUAGUCCACGCCGUAAACUAUGAUCACUGGAUGUCAGCUUUGCUUAGCAGGGUUGGUAUCGAAGCUAACGCGUUAAGUGAUCCGCCUGGGAACUACGAUCGCAAGAUUA